rnacentral:rRNA from 1 species
UGGGGAAUAUUGCACAAUGGGCGAAAGCCUGAUGCAGCAACGCCGCGUGAGCGAAGAAGGCCUUUGGGUCGUAAAGCUCUGUCGAGAAGGAAGAUAAUGACGGUACUUCUCGAGGAAGCCCCGGCUAACUACGUGCCAGCAGCCGCGGUAAUACGUAGGGGGCGAGCGUUAUCCGGAAUUAUUGGGCGUAAAGAGUGCGUAGGUGGUUGUUUAAGCGUGGGGUGAAAGGCAAUAGCUUAACUAUUGUAAGCCCCGCGAACUGGGCGACUUGAGUGCAGGAGAGGAAAGCGGAAUUCCUAGUGUAGCGGUGAAAUGCGUAGAUAUUAGGAGGAACACCAGUGGCGAAGGCGGCUUUCUGGACUGUAACUGACACUGAGGCACGAAAGCGUGGGGAGCAAACAG